rnacentral:rRNA from 1 species
AACGAACGCUGGCGGCGUGCCUAACACAUGCAAGUCGAACGUGAUUGAAGAGCUUGCUCUUCAUGAAAGUGGCGCACGGGUGAGUAACGCGUAGAUAAUCUACCUGGUGAUUUGGGAUAACAGUUCGAAAGGACUGCUAAUACCGAAUAAGCCCACGGAGUCUUUGGAUUCUGCGGGAAAAGGGGGGGACCUUAUGGCCUUCCGUCAUCAGAUGAGUCUGCGUACCAUUAGCUAGUUGGUAGGGUAGAGGCCUACCAAGGCGACGAUGGUUAGCUGGUCUGAGAGGAUGAUCAGCCCGACUGGAACUGAGACACGGUCCAGACUCCUACGGGAGGCAGCAGUGGGGAAUUUUGCGCAAUGGGGGAAACCCUGACGCAGCAACGCCGCGUGAGUGAUGAAGGCCCUUGGGUCGUAAAGCUCUGACAGAGGGAAAGAAAUGCAGGGGAGCUAAUAUCUCCUUUGCUUGACGGUACCCUCAAAGGAAGCACCGGCUAACUCCGUGCCAGCAGCCGCGGUAAUAC